rnacentral:rRNA from 1 species
AACGAACGCUGGCGGCGUGCUUAACACAUGCAAGUCGAACGGAAAGGCCCUGCUUUUGUGGGGUGCUCGAGUUGCGAACGGGUGAGUAACCCGUGAGUAACCUGCCCUUGACUUUGGGAUAACUUCAGGAAACUGGGGCUAAUACCGGAUAGGAGCUCCUGCUGCAUGGUGGGGGUUGGAAAGUUUCGGCGGUUGGUGAUGGACUCGCGUCUUAUCAGCUUGUUGGUGGGGUAGUGGCUUACCAAGGCUUGGACGGGUAGCCGGGCUGGGAGGAGGACCGGCCACACUGGGACUGAGAUACGGCACAGACUCGUACGGGAGGCAGGAGUGGAGAAGAGUGUACAAUGGGCGGAAGCCUGGUGUAGCAACGCCGCGUGCGGUGUGACGGCCAUCGGGUUGUAUUCCGAUGCCGCUUGAGACGAGGCGUGAGUGACGGUAAUGGGUAAAGAAGCACCGGCUAACUACGUG